UUCCUUAGCCUCUCUGAGCCUUAGUAUUCUCAUCUGUGAAUGGAAAGGGUAAACUUCAUGUUGUGGGCUUGCUGUCUCUCAUGAAUAUUACAUGGAAAAUGUUUAGCACAGUUUCUUACAAGUAAAAAGCCCUCAACAUUUGGGGGACUAUUGUUAUUAUGAUAAACAUGGUAACAAUUUCAAACUCUGAUUUAUAACGUUACUUCUAUUAAAAACACUUUGCAGAUUCCAACCGACAAUCUUGCAGGUCAAAUUUGGAUCCAACUUGUUAUCGAGCCGUGGACUGCUUCUUCCCCCAGAAUGGAGAAGGGGCUCGCCUUCCAUCACAGAAGCAUUCACAGGUGACAGCAGGAAGGGGAACAAACACACUUGACUUUCUUGUCUGUGCCUUAGAAUUGUGUCGAGCAGCUGAGCACAGUCAUUUUGGUGUGAAACCAGCAGAAGGAGGAAGUCCACGACUUAAACGCAUACGAGCCUGAGAGCCAGUUGUGAAAGGUGGAGAUGUGAACGGGAGCAUCGGGAACUACCAGUUCCUUCAUUCCCUGAACUCAUUUUUAUGGAGUACCUACUACAUACAAGACACAGUCUGGAGUUGAUUUCCCGUGGCUCUCAAGGAUUAAGCCAGAAGAUUCCAUUGGACCUCUGACCUCUUUCCUGCCCACCUGGAGGAAUUUGAGGGGUCCCAGAGCAGAGCAGAUCUAGGAUGCUUCUGAAGACCGACAUAGCUUCAUCAGGAGGAGCUGAGACACCAUAAUUUGGGAAAUGUGAAUCUUUUGCCCAUCUAUUCAGAACUCGUGAAGACAGAGAUGAGCCUUCUGCUUCCAGUGAUCAUGGGGCCCCCAGAUGAAGCCAGCCUCAGGAUAAUAAACCAGAGGGGGCAUGGAAGCUGAAGAAAUGCCCUUUCCCGUUCACCUGAAAUGUAAGCCAUUGGAAAGAGCAGUGUCUGGGAAUGACUAGACCCGUAUUUGUGUCCCACUUCUGUCACCUGGGAGCCUCAGGCAAGUGUCUCAGCCUCUCUGCUGCAGCUGGUCCUGGGUCAGUUGAAGUCCGUACACUAUGACCUCCCCCAGGGUGGGAAAUAUAGCUUGUUUAUAGUGCUUGA